rnacentral:misc_RNA from 1 species
GAUGAAGAACGUAGCGAAAUGCGAUAAGUAAUGUGAAUUGCAGAAUUCAGUGAAUCAUCGAAUCUUUGAACGCACCUUGCGCUCCUUGGCAUUCCGAGGAGCAUGCCUGUUUGAGUGUCAUUAAAUUCUCAAGACCUGUCUGCUUUUUUGAUAGGUAUUGGAUUUUGGGGGUUGCAGGCUGUUUCAAAUAAAUAGCCUUGCUCUCCUUGAAUGUAUUAGUGGAGAAAAGCCAUUGAACUCCAUUGGUGUGAUAAAACCUAUCAAUCCCAGGAGCAAUAUCACUACUUCUCUCUGCUGUCUAACUGUGACUGUCUGUAUUAAUUAGUAUGGAUGGGGACAACUUGACCAACUUGACCUCAAAUCAGGUAGGACUACCCGCUGAACUUAAGCAUAUCAAUAAGCGGAGGA